UACGUAGGGUGCGAGCGUUAAUCGGAAUUACUGGGCGUAAAGCGUGCGCAGGCGGUUUUGUAAGCCCGAUGUGAAAUCCCCGGGCUUAACCUGGGAAUGGCAUUUGGGACUGCAAGGCUCGAGUGCGGCAGAGGAGACUGGAAUUCCUGGUGUAGCAGUGAAAUGCGUAGAUAUCAGGAGGAACACCGAUGGCGAAGGCAGGUCUCUGGGCUGACACUGACGCUCAUGCACGAAAGCGUGGGGAGCAAAUGGG
rnacentral:rRNA from 1 species